GUACACUCCUGCGGGAGGCAGCAGUGGGGAAUUUUGGACAAUGGGCGAAAGCCUGAUCCAGCAAUGCCGCGUGAGUGAAGAAGGCCUUCGGGUUGUAAAGCUCUUUUGUCAGGGAAGAAACGGUGAGAGCUAAUAUCUCUUGCUAAUGACGGUACCUGAAGAAUAAGCACCGGCUAACUACGUGCCAGCAGCCGCGGUAAUACGUAGGGUGCAAGCGUUAAUCGGAAUUACUGGGCGUAAAGCGUGCGCAGGCGGUUUUGUAAGUCUGAUGUGAAAUCCCCGGGCUCAACCUGGGAAUUGCAUUGGAGACUGCAAGGCUAGAAUCUGGCAGAGGGGGGUAGAAUUCCACGUGUAGCAGUGAAAUGCGUAGAUAUGUGGAGGAACACCGAUGGCGAAGGCAGCCCCCUGGGUCAAGAUUGACGCUCAUGCACGAAAGCGUGGGGAGCAAACAGGAUUAGAUACCCGGGUAGUCCCAUG
rnacentral:rRNA from 1 species